rnacentral:rRNA from 1 species
GACGAACGCUGGCGGCGUGCUUAACACAUGCAAGUCGAACGGGCCUUGUCCCCUUUUUUUGGGGGUGGGGUUAGUGGCGAACGGGUGAGUAACACGUGAGUAACCUGCCCCUCACUUCUGGAUAACCGCUUGAAAGGGUGGCUAAUACGGGGUGUUCUGGCCUGCUCGCAUGGGUGGGUUUGGAAAGAUUCGACCGGUUUUGGUUGUUUUGGUGGGGGAUGGGCUCGCGGCCUAUCAGCUUGUUGGUGGGGUGAUGGCCUGCCAAGGCUUUGACGGGUAGCCGGCCUGAGAGGGUGGGCGGUCACAGUGGGAAUGGGACACGGCCCAGACUCCUACGGGAGGCAGCAGUGGGGAAUAUUGCACAAUGGGCGCAAGCCUGAUGCAGCGACGCCGCGUGAGGGAUGGAGGCCGUCGGGUUGUGAACCUCUUUCGCCAGUGAAGAAGGUCCUGCUCUUUGUGGUGGGGUUGACGGUAGCGGGGUUAAUGAAGCGCCGGCUAACUACGUG